rnacentral:tRNA from 1 species
UUAAUUGAAACCAAAAUAGAGGUAAUUUGUUGUUAACAAAUUUAAUGAAUAUAAUUCCAAUUAAA